rnacentral:rRNA from 1 species
UACGUAGGGUCCGAGCGUUGUCCGGAAUUACUGGGCGUAAAGAGCUCGUAGGUGGUUUGUCGCGUUGUUCGUGAAAACUCACAGCUUAACUGUGGGCGUGCGGGCGAUACGGGCAGACUGGGAGUACUGCAGGGGAGACUGGAAUUCCUGGUGUAGCGGUGGAAUGCGCAGAUAUCAGGAGGAACACCCGGUGGGCGAAGGCGGGGUCUCUGGGCAGUAACUGACGC